rnacentral:tRNA from 1 species
GGGGGAGUGGCUCAGUCGGUUAGAGCGCUGCGUUCACAUCGCAGAGGUCAACGGUUCGAGUCCGUUCUUCCCCACCA